GGAUGUGAGGGCAAUCUGGCUGUGACAUAUGUCAGCCCACUGAUUGCCAGGGUUCAUUCAGCUGACCUGGCUGGGUAGGUAGAUGAACCCUUUCUCCCUCAUUGCUUCAUGUGCAUCCCUCCCAAAGCUGCACACUCAGUCAAAGAGAAUGACCUUUCCCAAUAGAGAAGGAUUGUCUUUGGUCAAGGAUAUAUGAGUAGCUGGUCAUCCCCUGCUAGAACCUUCAAACAAGCUCUCAAGGUCAAUUUGUAGGAGAAUAUAGGGUAGUUAAACUUCCAAGACACACACCCGAAUGAGGUGCUGCAUGUACCAGUCUGCCUUUCUUU
rnacentral:snRNA from 2 species